rnacentral:rRNA from 1 species
GGGGGGGGGGGUGCUAUACAUGCAAGUCGAGCGAAUGGAUUAAGAGCUUGCUCUUAUGAAGUUAGCGGCGGACGGGUGAGUAACACGUGGGUAACCUGCCCAUAAGACUGGGAUAACUCCGGGAAACCGGGGCUAAUACCGGAUAACAUUUUGAACCGCAUGGUUCGAAAUUGAAAGGCGGCUUCGGCUGUCACUUAUGGAUGGACCCGCGUCGCAUUAGCUAGUUGGUGAGGUAACGGCUCACCAAGGCAACGAUGCGUAGCCGACCUGAGAGGGUGAUCGGCCACACUGGGACUGAGACACGGCCCAGACUCCUACGGGAGGCAGCAGUAGGGAAUCUUCCGCAAUGGACGAAAGUCUGACGGAGCAACGCCGCGUGAGUGAUGAAGGCUUUCGGGUCGUAAAACUCUGUUGUUAGGGAAGAACAAGUGCUAGUUGAAUAAGCUGGCACCUUGACGGUACCUAACCAGAAAGCCACGGCUAACUACGUGCCAGCAGCCGCGGUAAUACGUAGGUGGCAAGCGUUAUCCGGAAUUAUUGGGCGUAAAGCGCGCGCAGGUGGUUUCUUAAGUCUGAUGUGAAAGCCCACGGCUCAACCGUGGAGGGUCAUUGGAAACUGGGAGACUUGAGUGCAGAAGAGGAAAGUGGAAUUCCAUGUGUAGCGGUGAAAUGCGUAGAGAUAUGGAGGAACACCAGUGGCGAAGGCGACUUUCUGGUCUGUAACUGACACUGAGGCGCGAAAGCGUGGGGAGCAAACAGGAUUAGAUACCCCUCUGGAGACUGCCAAGGCACACGGGGGAAUAGGGAU